rnacentral:rRNA from 1 species
GAGGGGUGCAAGCGUUAUUCGGAUUAACUGGGCGUAAAGGGUGUGUAGACGGCAUAGUAAGUCCGCUGUUAAAUUCUCCGGCUUAACCGGAGUCCAGCGGUGGAAACUGUUGUGCUAGAGGGUGGAAGAGAGAAGUGGAAUUCCCGGAGUAGCGGUAAAAUGCGUAGAUCUCGGGAGGAACACCAAUGGCGAAGGCAGCUUCUUGGUCCAUUCCUGACGUUGAGACACGAAAGCGUGGGGAGCAAACAGGAUUAGAUACCCUGGGUAGUCCACGCCGUAAACGAUGAUCACUAGAUGUUGGUUCGGCUUAGCUGAAUCAGUAUCGUAGCUAACGCGUUAAGUGAUCCGCCUGGGGGAUUACGGUCGCAAGACUA